CCACAGCCUGGGCUGUGUGAGAAAUUACACAGCAGGGCUGCUCUACCGGGCACACACGCUAAGUACCGGGAGGAGAACAGUCGUUUCUGGCGAACUCUGCUUCCCGGAGCCAACGGCAGCCGUCUACAUGCACUGUGAAGACAAUGGCGCCCGAACCGCGAAACUACACUUCCCAGAAUAUUAUGCGGCCGCGAAACGUCUUUCGGGUCAUUCCUCUGCUCGCACAGAUGUUGUCCGGCCCGGAGAAGGGCAGCCUUGCUAGUGCGGGACACCAAGUGGCCUCUACCAACCGAAGGUCUCCUCUCAUACAAAAGUUUGCUGCCACGCUGUCCAGCUCGUAUAGGUCUUGAGUAUUUGGCGCCCGCUUGCCCAGGACUGUAUUUUCCCAAAUGCCCUGUGUCCGGGCUGUUACAUUUGCUGUCUGCGGACCAAUGACACUUCCCAGAAGUUCGAGGGGUCACGUCUUCGCUACGACAGUGACUGCCGCUGUGAUGUGCAUUACACGUCCUCGAAGGACUCAGGAUUAUCAGACUCGAGUGAGGGCACUGAGGACCGAGACCCUCAAUCCUGGGAAAAAACACUCCUCUGACCCUCCUCCGGCCCCAGAAGCGCUUCUUAGUCUCUGACUGCCCAGCCCACCCACACGGGCCCUGGACAAAGAUGUAUCUAGGCCAGAGCAUUCUACUGUUGCGUUCCUUGCCUGCGACCUUUCAGAACUUCCCAGAGAAUCACCAUAAAGAGGCAUCCGUGACCUUCAAGGACGUGGCAGUGACCUUUACCUAGGACGAGUGGGGGCAGC